CAUUUUGAAUCUUCUCAUCCUUCAGGAAACAAACAGAAGUUUUCAUUAAAUUGGAUAUUGGAAAACACGAUAGAGAAGAAGAAAGAGAAAAGGAGAGGCGAUGAAGAGUAGAAAAACUUGAUCAUUCCCUCAAGCUUGAUUGGGUUUUAUACAGCUACAGAAAUCCAAAACAGGAAGAAUUCUAACUAGGGAAAAAUAAAGAUUCUAGGCUAUUUUACAGCAACCUAAUUAUAAUCUAAAUAUAUAUACACUUAUGCAGUAAAUAAAGGUCAACUCUCUACAUAUUUCAACAAAUAUAAAGAAACAUGGAAGAUAACACAUACCGGAUGAGUUGUAACCACAGUAGUUAUACAGCCAUUAAUCAUAUUGAAAAGGGAUAUUUCUCAUUAAGAAUCAGUUAAAAUUAACAACAAUACAAAUUAACAGUCAUUUACACUUCAAUCAUUGGUCAACUGCGCAAAACAGUUAACAGCAAUACAAAUGUAUACAUUCAGCAUAAUUUUCUAUCAUCAAUUUACUUUUGCAUGGUCACACAUGACACAUCAGUACUAAGUAUUUUAUUUCAAAAACUGCAUGAAAAUUACUUGAGCUUGAGUUCUGCACUUCCCCCUUUUCUUAGCAAUCUCAUGAUGGAUCAAUAUUGUCAGAUUACAGAAAAGCUCUAAUUGCAUAAAAAUUCUAGCCCACACAUCAUGAAAACCUUCUAAGAAAGCUAAUAGUUCCUGCUACAUGCUCUCUACUUAUUUGAUUGAGAUAAGUUCCCACUAUAUUUACGUCAUGUUUAUCACCCAAAUGAGUGGAGAAAACAGAAUAAUACAUAACAAAAAUGAAUUUAAGCAAACCCUCCUAAUCCACCUAAAUAUCAUGACCUUUGACACAUGGAAAUUUGUGUACUCAAAACUCAAAGCAAAGAAAUGCUUAGCUUAAUAAUUAAGCUCUUUCCUCAACCAAGCAAACCAUCAAUUUUGGAGAUCAUACGCAAAACAAAAGUAUAACUAACAGAACCAAAACUUACAGUCCCAAACCAAUGUAUUUGCCGAGGACAAACCAUUACUCAAUCUAAUUACAUUUGGUUGUUAAUUAAAUUUAAAAUUAGUAUGAUGUGAACCGAAGAAACUCCAAAAUUAAGUAAAACAAUGAUUGUAGCCACAGUUAUGUCUUCAUUAAAGUUAGAAAAUUAAGCAGAAUUACCAUUGAAAAACCGAAAAUGUUAUUGAAACAACAACAUUAAAAUGAACCCUUACAAUGUAAGAGAGAGCAAUCUCAGGGUCUA
rnacentral:misc_RNA from 1 species